CACGUAGGGGGCGAGCGUUGUCCGGAUUUAUUGGGCGUAAAGAGCUCGUAGGCGGCUCGGUAAGUCGGGUGUGAAACCUCCAGGCUCAACCUGGAGACGCCACCUGAUACUGCUGUGGCUAGAGUCCGGUAGGGGAGUGUGGAACUCCUGGUGUAGCGGUGAAAUGCGCAGAUAUCAGGAAGAACACCAGCGGCGAAGGCGGCACUCUGGGCCGGAACUGACGCUGAGGAGCGAAAGCGUGGGUAGCAAACAGG
rnacentral:rRNA from 1 species